UGGGGAAUAUUGCGCAAUGGGGGAAACCCUGACGCAGUGACGCCGUGUGAGUGAUGAAGGUUUUCGGAUCGUAAAGCUCUGUCAGAUGGGAAGAAUAAAGGCAGGGAAAAUAUUUCUGCCUGAUGACGGUACCAUCAGAGGAAGCACCGGCUAACUCCGUGCCAGCAGCCGCGGUAAUACGGAGGGUGCAAACGUUGUUCGGAAUUACUGGGCGUAAAGCGCAUGUAGGCGGAUACGUAGGUCAGAUGUGAAAGCCCUUGGCUCAACCAAGGAAGUGCAUCUGAAACCACAUAUCUUGAGUAUGACAGAGGGAAGUGGAAUUUCCAGUGUAGAGGUGAAAUUCAUAGAUAUUGGAAAGAACACCGGUGGCGAAGGCGGCUUUCUGGGUCAUUACUGACGCUGAGGCUCGAAGGUGUGGGUAGCAAACAGGAUUAGAUACCCUGGUAGUCCACACAGUAAACGGUGAUCACUAGGUGUUGCGGGUAUUGACCCCUGCAGUGCCGCAGCUAACGCAUUAAGUGAUCCGCCUGGGGAGUACGGUCGCAAGAUUAAAACUCAAAGGAAUUGACGG
rnacentral:rRNA from 1 species